GCCUGGAUAGCUCAGUUCGUAGCACAUCAGGCUUUUAAUCUGAGGGUCCAGGGUUCAAGUCCCUGGCUGGGUG
rnacentral:tRNA from 1 species